CCUACGGGCGGCAGCAGUGAGGAAUAUUGGUCAAUGGACGAGAGUCUGAACCAGCCAAGUAGCGUGAAGGAUGACUGCCCUAUGGGUUGUAAACUUCUUUUAUAUGGGAAUAAAAUGUUCCACGUGUGGGAUUUUGUAUGUACCAUAUGAAUAAGGAUCGGCUAACUCCGUGCCAGCAGCCGCGGUAAUACGGAGGAUCCGAGCGUUAUCCGGAUUUAUUGGGUUAAAGGGGAGCGUAGGUGGAUUGUAAGUCAGUUGUGAAAGUUUGCGGCUCAACCGUAAAAUUGCAGUUGAAACUGGCAGUCUUGAGUACAGUAGAGGUGGGCGGAAUUCGUGGUGUAGCGGUGAAAUGCUUAGAUAUCACGAAGAACUCCGAUUGCGAAGGCAGUUCACUGGACUGCAACUGACACUGAGGCUCGAAAGUGUGGGUAUCAAACAGGAUUAGAUACCCCAGUAGUC
rnacentral:rRNA from 1 species